GACGAACGCUGGCGGCGUGCCUAAUACAUGCAAGUCGAGCGGACGAUUCGAAAGCUUGCUUUUGAUUCGUUAGCGGCGGACGGGUGAGUAACACGUGGGCAACCUGCCCUGUAGACGGGGAUAACACCGAGAAAUCGGUGCUAAUACCGGAUAACACGAAAUGUCGCAUGACGUUUCGUUGAAAGACGGCGCAAGCUGUCGCUACAGGAUGGGCCCGCGGCGCAUUAGCUAGUUGGUGAGGUAACGGCUCACCAAGGCGACGAUGCGUAGCCGACCCGAGAGGGUGAUCGGCCACACUGGGACUGAGACACGGCCCAGACUCCUACGGGAGGCAGCAGUAGGGAAUCUUCCGCAAUGGACGAAAGUCUGACGGAGCAACGCCGCGUGAGCGAAGAAGGCCUUCGGGUCGUAAAGCUCUGUUGUUAGGGAAGAACAAGUAACGCAGUAACUGGCGUUACCGUGACGGUACCUAACGAGAAAGCCACGGCUAACUACGUG
rnacentral:rRNA from 1 species